GACGAACGCUGGCGGCGUGCCUAAUACAUGCAAGUAGGACGCACAGUCUAUACCGUAGCUUGCUACACCAUAGGCUGUGAGUUGCGAACGGGUGAGUAACGCGUAGGUAACCUGCCUAUUAGAGGGGGAUAACUAUUGGAAACGAUAGCUAAUACCGCAUAACAGUAUGUAACACAUGUUAGAUGCUUGAAAGAUGCAAUUGCAUCGCUAGUAGAUGGACCUGCGUUGUAUUAGCUAGUAGGUAGGGUAAUGGCCUACCUAGGCGACGAUACAUAGCCGACCUGAGAGGGUGAUCGGCCACACUGGGACUGAGACACGGCCCAGACUUCUACGGGAGGCAGCAGUAGGGAAUCUUCGGCAAUGGGGGGAACCCUGACCGAGCAACGCCGCGUGAGUGAAGAAGGUUUUCGGAUCGUAAAGCUCUGUUGUUAAGGAAGAACGAGUGUGAGAAUGGAAAGUUCAUACUGUGACGGUACUUAACCAGAAAGGGACGGCUAACUACGUG
rnacentral:rRNA from 1 species